AUUGAACGCUGGCGGCAGGCCUAACACAUGCAAGUCGAGCGGAUGAAGGGAGCUUGCUCUCUGAUUCAGCGGCGGACGGGUGAGUAAUGCCUAGGAAUCUGCCUGGUAGUGGGGGACAACGUUCCGAAAGGAGCGCUAAUACCGCAUACGUCCUACGGGAGAAAGUGGGGGAUCUUCGGACCUCACGCUAUCAGAUGAGCCUAGGUCGGAUUAGCUAGUAGGUGGGGUAAUGGCUCACCUAGGCGACGAUCCGUAACUGGUCUGAGAGGAUGAUCAGUCACACUGGAACUGAGACACGGUCCAGACUCCUACGGGAGGCAGCAGUGGGGAAUAUUGGACAAUGGGCGAAAGCCUGAUCCAGCCAUGCCGCGUGUGUGAAGAAGGUCUUCGGAUUGUAAAGCACUUUAAGUUGGGAGGAAGGGCAGUAAGUUAAUACCUUGCUGUUUUGACGUUACCAACAGAAUAAGCACCGGCUAACUUCGUGCCAG
rnacentral:rRNA from 1 species